UACAGAGGUCCCAAGCGUUGUUCGGAUUCACUGGGCGUAAAGGGUGCGUAGGUGGUGAGGUAAGUCGGAUGUGAAAUCUCCGAGCUCAACUCGGAAAUUGCAUUGGAAACUACCUUGCUAGAGGGUUGGAGGGGGGACUGGAAUACUUGGUGUAGCAGUGAAAUGCGUAGAUAUCAAGUGGAACACCAGUGGCGAAGGCGAGUCCUUGGACAACUCCUGACACUGAGGCACGAAAGCUAGGGGAGCAAACAGG
rnacentral:rRNA from 1 species